rnacentral:misc_RNA from 1 species
AAACUUCUUGUUUCAUCAUAAAAACUUAAAUGUAUAAUUGACGUUGCAAGGCCAAAAUUUUCUUAUCUCGUGAACAUAAAUGUUGUUUGUAAGAAAAAUAAAUAUUGCUAAAAUUAGUGUCAGGUAGCCUAAGCUUUACUAGCAUCAUUCUAGUCAUUUGGAUUAUCAUUCCCCUCAGUCUUCAGGCUCUCAACCAUUUCCUGAGAUCCCUGGGUAGCUUCUUCAUUGGAACAAUGAUUCUUCAGAACUGUUGAGAUGUCAAUUUCAGAAGCUCCAGCAAGCUUAAAUCUUUCAACAGCAGUAUCAAGCUUCUCCUUCCAACCAAUCAACCCCAAUUUACAUUCAACUUGAGACCGCUCAAAAAGCAUAUUACCCCAAAAUAAAUGUAUUUGAGAUCGCAUUACAGCAGCUUGCUGUGCAGCCUCAUCAGCUGAAAUUUCACCUGGACCACCUGUAGCUGACACCUCACCUUCAGGACCACUUCCCUGUUUCUUCUUUCUCCUUAGUAGUUCAUCCUUCUUGAUUGUACUAGGAUCUUUUAGUUCAUUAUCCCUAAGCUCCUCCAGCUUUUCCCACAUCUGAGUUGCUGCUUUCAUUUUCUCUUCUGCACUUUCAAAUAGAGCAAGCGUCUCAGUACGAUCCCAACUUGACAGGUCCUCUUUCUUAGCCAAGACAAAGGACCAGUGAAGUUUUG